rnacentral:misc_RNA from 1 species
UGUGUGCAUUACUCAGUCCACAGGA